rnacentral:rRNA from 1 species
AUUGAACGCUGGCGGCAGGCCUAACACAUGCAAGUCGAGCGGAGCGGCGGACGGGUGAGGAAUGCCUAGGAAUAUGCCUGGUAGUGGGGGAUAACGUCGGGAAAAGGGCGCUAAUACCGCAUACUAUCAGAUGAGCCUAGGUCGGAUUAGCUGGUGGGGGGGGUAAAGGCCUACCAAGGCGACGAUCCGUAACUGGUCUGAGAGGAUGAUCAGCCACACUGGAAUGGAGACACGGUCCAGACUCCUACGGGAGGCAGCAGUGGGGAAUAUUGGACAAUGGGCGAAAGCCUGACCCAGCCAUGCCGCGUGUGUGAAGAAGGUCUUCGGAUUGUAAAGCACUGUAAUUUGGGAGGCGUUACCAACAGAAUAAGCACCGGCUAACUUCGUGCCAGCAGCCGCGGUAAUAC